rnacentral:rRNA from 1 species
UGAGGGAAUAUUGGGUCAAUGGGGCGGAAGCCUGAACCAGCCAAGUAGCGUGCAGGACGACGGCCCUAUGGGUUGUAAACUGCUUUUAUGCGGGGAUAAAGUGGGCCACGUGUGGCCUUUUGCAGGUACCGCAUGAAUAAGGACCGGCUAAUUCCGUGCCAGCAGCCGCGGUAAUACGGAAGGUCCGGGCGUUAUCCGGAUUUAUUGGGUUUAAAGGGAGCGCAGGCCGGGUAUUAAGCGUGUUGUGAAAUGUAGGCGCUCAACGUCUGCACCGCAGCGCGAACUGGUGCCCUUGAGUACGCACGACGUUGGCGGAAUUCGCCGUGUAGCGGUGAAAUGCUUAGAUAUGGCGAAGAACUCCGAUUGCGAAGGCAGCUGACGGGAGCGCUACUGACGCUCAUGCUCGA